rnacentral:rRNA from 1 species
AUUGAACGCUGGCGGCAUGCCUUACACAUGCAAGUCGAACGAGUGGCGGACGGGUGAGUAAUGUCUGGGAAACUGCCUGAUGGAGGGGGAUAACUACUGGAAACGGUAGCUAAUACCGCAUACCAUCGGAUGUGCCCAUAUGGGAUUAGCUAGUUGGUGGGGUAAAGGCUCACCAAGGCGACGAUCCCUAGCUGGUCUGAGAGGAUGACCAGCCACACUGGAACUGAGACACGGACCAGACGCCUACGGGAGGCAGCAGUGGGGAAUAUUGGACAAUGGGGGCAAGCCUGAUGCAGCCAUGCCGUGUGUAUGAAGAAGGCCUUCGGGUUGUAAAGUACUUUCAGCGGGGAGGCGUUACCUGCAGAAGAAGCACCGGCUAACUACGUGCCAGCAGCCGCGGUAAUAC